GCGGUCGUGGCCGAGUGGUUAAGGCAUCUGACUCGAUAUCAGAUUCCCUCUGGGAGCGUAGGCUCGAGUCCUACCGGCCGCG
rnacentral:tRNA from 1 species